ensembl:lncRNA novel transcript
AUAGGCAUGACCAGCAUAGAGAUAGAGAGGCCCCAGUGCUGCUGAGUAACUGUGAUUCCCCAGGUGAUGGCAUCAGCUGAGAAGGGAAGGAAGCCCAUGAGAGGACACUGAAGAAGGAGUGAGCAGACAAUAAGAAGCCCACAGAAGACAGAGAAGGAACAACUAGAGGGAGAAGCCAAGGCAGUUUCUCCACAGACACUACCCAAAGCAGUGCUUCACUACAGUGGCAGACAGACCUGAAAAUUUUCAUCUGAAGCAGCAGAGUGAACUGCAGAGGCAGAGAUAGAAUCUCACUAUGUUGACCAGGCUGGUCUUGAACUCUUGGCACCCAAGCGAUCCUUUUGCCUGGAAUCCCAAAGUGUCAGAUUUACUG